UACGAAGGGGGCUAGCGUUGCUCGGAAUCACUGGGCGUAAAGGGCGCGUAGGCGGCGUUUUAAGUCAGGGGUGAAAUCCUGGAGCUCAACUCCAGAACUGCCUUUGAUACUGGGGAUCUCGAGUCCGGAAGAGGUGAGUGGAACUCCGAGUGUAGAGGUGAAAUUCGUAGAUAUUCGGAAGAACACCAGUGGCGAAGGCGGCUCACUGGUCCGGUACUGACGCUGAGGUGCGAAAGCGUGGGGAGCAAACAGG
rnacentral:rRNA from 1 species